CUGACAGACGGAGACAGUACAGGUGCCUCAGUGCCAACACAGAGAGACUAAAAAACAGCUUCUAUUACCAGACCAUCAGACUGUUUAUCAGCCAUCGCUAGCCAUCUACCAGCUAAGUCCCCUCCUGUUCCCUGAUUAAGAGGUGAUGACUACUCCACUCAGCUGCCAUUGUCAACUUUCUCCUGGCAUGAACUGAAUCCAUGUCUCAUGGGCCCUCUCAUCCACUGGCACAUUAAAGGUUUCCCAUCCAAGCACUCAUCUGAGUCAUCUGUUUUGUUAUUUAAAAGAUGGAUAGACAACGAAGGGGCAGAGUGAAAAGUCAAUGUUGCUUCAUGUCACCGA